GAGGUUGGUGAAAUGGCCGCUCUUCCGCCAGUAGGCGGAUGGGAGGAAAGUCCGAACUCCGCAGGACAAGGCGCCUCUGAAGAGGAGGGUCCUAUCAGAUGAUGGGAACGGCAAGUGCAGCAGAAAGUAAACAUCCAAUCCGCUGUUUGGCGGAUGGGAAACAGGUGAAAGGGUGGUGUAAGAGACCACCGGUGUUUGUGGAAACAUGGACAGCCGGGUAAACCCCGCCUGGAGCAAGAUCAAGCAAUCCAGUGUGGUCCGCACGUUACGGAUGGGUAGGUCGCAAGAACCUGAUCGCGAGGUCAGGACCAGAUGAAUGGCCAUUAUCCGCCCUUUGGCGGUAACAGAAUUCGGCUUAUGAUCCAACCUCAUAU
rnacentral:RNase_P_RNA from 1 species